rnacentral:rRNA from 1 species
GACGAACGCUGGCGGCGUGCUUAACACAUGCAAGUCGAACGGAAAGGCCCUGCUUUUGUGGGGUGCUCGAGUGGCGAACGGGUGAGUAACACGUGAGUAACCUGCCCUUGACUUUGGGAUAACUUCAGGAAAAUGGGGCUAAUACCGGAUAGGAGCUCCUGCUGCAUGGUGGUGGUUGGAAAGUUUCGGCGGUUGGAGCUGGACUCGCGGCUUAUCAGCUUGUUGGUGGGGUAGUUGCUUACCAAGGCUUUGAAGGGUAGCCGGCAUGAGAGGGUGACCGGCCACAUUGGGACUGAGAUACGGCCCAGAAUCCUACGGGAGGCAGCAGGGGGGAAUAUUGCACAAUAGGCGGGAGCCUGAUGCAGCAGCGCCGCGUUCGGGAUGACGGCCUUCGGGGUGUAAACCGCUGUCGCCUGUGACGAAGCGUGAGUGACGGUAAUGGGUAAAGAAGCACCGGCUAACUACGUG